UACGUAGGUGGCAAGCGUUGUCCGGAUUUACUGGGCGUAAAGAGCGCGCAGGCGGUCGUUCAAGUCGCGUGUGAAAGCCCCCGGCUCAACUGGGGAGGGUCAUGCGAUACUGAUCGACUCGAAGGCAGGAGAGGGUAGUGGAAUUCCCGGUGUAGUGGUGAAAUGCGUAGAUAUCGGGAGGAACACCAGUGGCGAAGGCGACUACCUGGCCUGUUCUUGACGCUGAGGCGCGAAAGCUAGGGGAGCAAACGGGAUUAGA
rnacentral:rRNA from 1 species